GUGCUUGCUUCAGCAGCACAUAUAAUAAAAUUGGAACGAUACAGAGAAGAUUGGCAUGGCCACUGUGCAAGAAUGACAUGCAAAUUCGUGGUGUUCCAUAUUUAA